rnacentral:lncRNA from 1 species
GAGUUCUGGAGCUGCUGGCUGGAGAGGAGGGUGGACGAAGCUCUCUCUAGAAAGACAUCCUGAGAGGACUUGGCAGGAAGUCAGGGACCCUGAAUGGAGGGAUCGGCCAGAGCUGAGGCAGAAGAACAUAAAUUGUGAAGAUUUCAUGGAUAUUUAUCACUUCCCAAAAUUAAUACUUUUAUAAUUUCUUAUGCCUGUCUUUACUGCAAUCUCUGAACAUAAAUUGUGAAGAUUUCAUGGACAUUUAUCACGUCCCCAAUUAACACUCUUAUAGUUUCUUAUGCCUAUCUUUACUUUAAUCUCUUAAUCCUGUUAUCUUCAUAAGCUCAGAAUGUAAUUCACCUCAGGACUACUAUUGCACAAAUGGAUUGUAAAACAUGUGUGUUUGAACAAUAUGAAAUCAGUAUACCUGGAAAAAGAACAGAAUAUCAGUGAUUUUCAGGGAACAAUGGAAGAUAACUAUAAGGUCUGACUGCCUGCGGGGUCGGGCAGAAUAGAGCCAUAUUUUUCUUCUUGCAGAAAGCCUAUAGAAGGAUGUGCAAGUAGGAGAAAUAUUGCUGAAUUCUUUUCCCAGCAUGGAAGAACCCUGGGGAAGGAAUGCAUUCCUGGGGGUAGGUCUAUAGAUGGCCUCUCUGGGAGUGUUUGUCUUAUGCGGUUGAGAUAAGGACUGAAAUACGCCCUGGUGUCCUGCAGUACCCUCAGGCUUACUAGGAUUGGGAAAUUCCAGCCGGGUAAAUUCUAGUCAGAGUGGUUCUCUGUUCUCAAACCCUGUUUCCUGUGAAGAUGUUUAUCAAGACAAUGUGUGCACAGCAGGACAUAGACCCUCAUCAGUAAUUCUAAUUUUGCCUUUGCCUUGUGAUCUUUACUGCCCUUUGAAGCAUGUGAUCCUUGUGACCUACUCCCUGUUCAUACACCCUCUCCUCUUUUAAAAUCCCUAAUAAAAACUUGCUGGUUUUGCUGCUCGGGGUCACCAUCAUAGUCCUACCACUAUGUGAUGACAGCCCCAGAGGCCCAGCUGUAAA